CAUCCCUCCCCCUCCCCAAUCCCGCACCGCCGGCUUCCACUGCUCUCCUGGCCAUCUCUCCCACGCCACCAUCGUCGCCGUAUCCCCGUCGCCGCCGCUACACCAUCGCCGAGAAUCCCCUUCGCCGCCGUCUGCGGGCCGCGAGCUCCUCCCCUCCCCCUCAGCCGCCGCCGAUGCGACGGCCUCUGGCUUCCAACACGCUUCGAAGCCUCUGCUUCCGUCACCACGCGGCCUGCCCGUCCGCCGGCAUGAAUCAACCGCGAUCUCAGCCCUAGAAGGGCGUGCAAUGAAGCAGCCGCUGCUGCUUGGCGCACAUAUCGGCCCGUACGCUUGCACUACACCGGUGCCCGCACUAGGCUCACUGAAUGAUGCCAAGAUAUAUGACAAGGUAUGGUCUCUAAGUGGCUUCCUGAAUUUACAACUGAACCCUGUCCACAUCUCUCCAUUAACUGAGUCAGUCUAAUGGGAUAGAAGCACUACAAUACUGUAUUGGUGAUGGACGUCCUGCAGGCCCUGGUAAACAAGGCAAUCUCAGCUGGCGCCAUGUGCGGGAUGGGAGGCAGGCUGCGGCCACCAGCGAUUUCUUUGUAUGCAAAACUUCUUCGGCAUGGCGUUACGGCUUAAAUGGUUGGCAAAGAGAGGAGAGCAUCGCGACAGACCUUGGACAACCAUUGAGACUAAGCAGCCGAAGGAGUUACAGGACCUGUUCUUCUCAGCCACACGGCAAGUGUUGGGAGAUGGGGGAAAACACAAAGUUUUGGCUUGCGGAUUGGCUGCCAAUUGGGAGCAUAAAGGCGAGAUUUCCGUUAAUCUUCAGUCAUGUGGAGCGCAAGGGUUUGACAGUGGCGAGAGGACUACAGAACCAUAGGUGGGUGCGCGACAUCAAAGGAGCUCCAUCCAACCGAGCCAUUGGGGAGUACUUUCAAAUUUGGGAUGCGAUCCAGAAGGUGCAGCUGCGAGGAGGGGAAGAGGAUGAGACAAUAUGGAAGUGGGCCUCGAAUGGAAGAUUUACCCCUUCCUCUGCCUAUGACAUGUUUUUUAUGGCAAACACAGAGGCGCGUUGUGGCAAUCUAGUUUGGCACACGAGAACACCGACAAAGGUUAAGUUCUUUAUGUGGUUGGCAGAAAAAGGCCGUUGCCUAACGGCCGACAACCUGAGCAAGCGCGGAUGGCCACACCAUCAAACAUUCUCACUAUGCACCAGCAGCGACGAGGACUGUGAGCAUCUCUUUGUUUCCUGCCCAUACACCACCAGAGUAUGGAGGAUGAUCAAGGGUUGGGCUGGAAUUGGCAUCCAACUGCCGGCUGAAGCAGGGUUGGAACUAGGGGAAUGGUGGCUCUUGGCGUGGCAAGGAGUUCAGACUAGCUGCAGGGGCGCUUUUGACACGCUAGUUUUGCUUGUCUGUUGGAUGGUUUGGAAGGAGAGAAACGCACGUGUUUUCCAGAGUCAGAGCCGGACAGCGGGUAGCCUCUUUGCUUUGAUUAAAGAGGAGGUUGUGGUCUGGAAAGAAGCCGGGGUUUUCAAAGUUUUAGGAGAGUAACAACAGCAUGAUGUAAUUGUUUUUUCUUUCGGGAAGUUGCCCUUGUGACAACAUCCUUUUACUUCGACAGCCUCUUGUCGAAGUUGGAACCUUGUAAAUAUGUACAUACCCCUUUCUUAAGUAAAUUUGGUCCGCCUAUCUUAGGCCGGCCCGGCUAAAAAAAUAAUGUGUGGAGAGUGGAGACUAUGAAUCUUAAAAGUUUUGAUUUUUUAUUUUUUCUAUGGAGGGCAUACUACCAUUUGUGUAAUGUGUAAUGUGUAAAGAACUACUGAUAAUGCAUUAGGGGAUUUGGCUAGGAUUUGGAGAAGCUGGUUCUUGCGA